rnacentral:rRNA from 1 species
CUACAGAGGGUGCAAGCGUUAUUCGGAAUUACUGGGCGUAAAGCGCGCGUAGGCGGAUGAUUAAGUCAGUUGUGAAAGCCCUGGGCUCAACCUAGGAACUGCAUCUGAUACUGGUCGUCUAGAGUUUAAGAGAGGGAAGUGGAAUUCCAGGUGUAGCAGUGAAAUGCGUAGAUAUCUGGAGGAACAUCAGUGGCGAAGGCGACUUCCUGGCUUAAAACUGACGCUGAGGUGCGAAAGCGUGGGUAGCGAACGGGAUUAGAUACCCUUGUAGUCC